rnacentral:misc_RNA from 1 species
GAUGAAGAACGCAGCGAAAUGCGAUACUUGGUGUGAAUUGCAGAAUCCCGUGAACCAUCGAGUCUUUGAACGCAAGUUGCGCCCGAAGCCAUUAGGCCGAGGGCACGCCUGCCUGGGCGUCACACGUCGUUGCCCCCCCAUCUACUCCUUCGGGAUUGCGGGGGGCGGAUGAUGGCCUCCCGUGCGCCUCGUCGCGCGGUUGGCAUAAAUACCAAGUCCUCGGCGACGCACGCCACGACAAUCGGUGGUUGCGAAACCUCGGUUGCCCGUCGUGUGCGGUCGUCGCGCAUCGAGGGCUCGAAAAAAUUGCCGGGCUCCGGCUCGGCUUUCAACGCGACCCCAGGUCAGGCGGGGUUACCUGCUGAAUUUAAGCAUAUCAAUAAGCGGAGGA